UCUGUUUUUAGGAAUCUGCAGAGGAAAGCAAAAGAGGGUGGCAUAGGAUUUUGUCUAAUAUUAUGUCUGAAACUCUUAAUGAAAGACCUCCAUUGGAGAGUGCUUCCAACGCGCCUAAACAAAAAAAAAAGUACACAAUAUCUAAUGCCAAAACCAGUUGAGUUGCAGUUUGUAGUAAUUGAAGUACAGAAAACCAACAAGGAAGACCCAAAGUGUGUUUUAAAUGCAGUUUUGCAAAGACAAAAAGGAAAAAGAAAAAAAAAACAGAACAGCAAACAAUAACAACAAAUGACCUCGGAUACGCAAAAAAUAAAAAUAUAAAAAAAAUCACAAAUUAAAAAUUUACAUUCAACUCCUCGAAAAACUUCUCUAUUUUCACAAUUUUUCAUCGGGACUCGUGCAAAUCUAUAAGCUUUCACUUUCUUUUACUCCCUGUAGUUCUGUAUUUUCCAAGUUGCAUUAUAUACCCAGAAACGAACCUUGUUUUCCUUAAACCCUUUCUUUAUUUUCAAUAUCAAUAAAUAUAUAUACAUACACAAAAGCUGCAUUUUCUUUUACUUAAAAAACUCUUGUCUUUGUCUUUUUCUCUCAAAAAAAAUUUAGGGUUUAAAAUCUGCUGUGCUACAAUGUCUCAAGCAGGUCACUUUGGCCGUGGUAGUUUGCUCAUGCCACUACAUUUUCCUGGGAUAUUGUUUUUGCCCACAAGGUCGAGAGACAAUGCAACCGAUGCUUGCUGGAGGGAUUCUGCUGUAUUCCGACAUUAGUUGCGAAAGACCCGUCUUUGUAACGAGUUGGUGGAAAUCAAGGAUUGAAAUACAAGUUUGGAAAUAGGGAAUGAAGCAAUUGGUCCGUGUAGCAGAUAGGUUAAAAAUUAUUGUAAAUGUAUCCAUCUAUUUUUGAAUUAUUUAGAUGAUAGAACUAUGGUUUAGCUUUUAUUUCUUCAGUUUUUUUCUUUUACUGCCAUUAAACUAUUGAUCAGAGAUUUCGUUUGCUCCCUUUGCAUUUUAUUGAUAAAGUGAUGGCUUGGAUUUUUUUGGUGAA